GUGCCAGCAGCCGCGGUAAUACGAAGGUGGCAAGCGUUGUUCGGAUUUACUGGGCGUACAGGGAGCGUAGGCGGUUGGGUAAGCCCUCCGUGAAAUCUCCGGGCCUAACCCGGAAAGGGCGGAGGGGACUGCUCGGCUAGAGGAUGGGAGAGGAGCGCGGAAUUCCCGGUGUAGCGGUGAAAUGCGUAGAGAUCGGGAGGAAGGCCGGUGGCGAAGGCGGCGCUCUGGAACAUUUCUGACGCUGAGGCUCGAAAGCGUGGGGAGCAAACAGGAUUAGAAACCCUAGUAGUCC
rnacentral:rRNA from 1 species